rnacentral:lncRNA from 1 species
GGCGGGGGGGUGGCAGGAUGACUGAAAUGUUAUUAGUUAUAACAGUACUAAUAUGAUAUAUUUAAGAACUUAACAUAAUAGUACUUAAUACUAUAACAUCCCACUGGACGAGGGAACAUCUAUUACUUCUAAUAAUUGUGAAUUUUCACAUACUUACAUAAACAAAUUCGUCAAAACUUAUUUUCCCAUCUUUAUUCCUGUCACCAUCCAGCAUGAGUUUCUGAAUAAUUUCUCUCACUUUAUAUCCUGGUAAUGGCAUAUUCGCUUCCUUGAAGAGCUCAUGAAGUUCAUAGUCACAAAUGAAUCCGUUGCUGUUGAGAUCUUUGUAAAAAAGGAGAGCAAGCAAAAAAGGUAAAAAAAAUUGAAAGACAUAAGUUAGAGUAUUUCCCUUCAUUUGAGGCUCAGUUCAUAAGCUCACUUAAAUAAAAUAUUUUCUUAUUGUGGGGAACAUAAAGUUGUUUGAAAGGGAAAUGGACAUUUAAAUGGAAAAAGCAAGGUUUUACAUCAUGUAUCCUGUGAUUUAAGCAAUGUGUAAGUAGAUUUACUUAAAAAGAGCAUCCCUAAGUUCAAGAAAGCAUAGUUGGCUAAUACAAUUAUUAUUAACUUGGCGCUAAUAGGAUUUUAAAAAAGAACUAAUAGAUCGUAAACCUACAAAACACUUCCAUGGUACAGAACAAUUUCUACUGUAAGUAUAGGAAUUUUGUGUUUCUUAUUCUUCCAUUGCUCCAAAAAGAACUUUUAUGAACUUAAUGCUGAUUCUGUUUCAAAGUACACCUGAAAUUAAGCAGUCAUGUUCAGUGCCAAUUAUUUUAAGAGUUAAUGUAAACAAACAUUAAUUCAAGACAAAUAUAGAGUUUAUAAAAAUAAAUGCACUACUGAGGAAAGCAGAUAUUUAAUAUGACUCUAUAAAUAACCUUUUAAUUUUUGUACUACUGAAGUUUCUCAGAGUAUGUCUUGAAGUGCUGAUUAAAUGAAUGAU